GUCCGACGGAAACAAACCAUCAUGCUUAUGUUGAGAACCAAGGAUAUAAGUGUGAGCGUCGGACUCGAUUUCCCACAUAAUUUUCAUCAAGGAUAUUGAAAAAUAGAAAGGACUAAUAUGACUACAUGUAACGAGCGCUUAGACCUUGUAACUAAGGAUCACUUGCGAAAAGUUAAACCGAUUCAGAAUUUUCCGGACUGCUUUAGGUUCGUUGCAGAGGUUGCAGACGACUUCUUAAAACUAUUUGAUGAGACAUCGGAUCAGAAAGGAAAAGGGCAAAACACUUUAAUUAAGACCAACACUCUUCUAAUAAACAGGCCACCAAAACAACAAUUAUCGCCAAUAACCAAGGGAAGCGAACCUAUUCGACCGAAGCCAAAUACAAAACACACUAUUGCUUCUCACCCUGAGCAAAAUUACGGUGUUCCUCAUGCACAUAUCCGCCCAGUCUUAUCGGAAAAAGGAAGCAAACAAAUAUCAAAUGCUUCUAUUCAGACACAAAAGCUUACAAGAAGUAAAACCGUUUCACCAGGUCAUAGAUAUGUAGCGGAAAAAAAGCGCGGACCUUUACGAAGAUGAUGAAUUUUAUCAGUUACCUACACAAGAAAAGGAGCCAAACUUGGCGCGAGAAGAGUUUUGUAACAAUUAUGAAGAAAAUGAUAUCGUUCACGUGGAUAAAACAGAAUUCUUUCGAUACAAUGCAUACGAAGUGGCGUUCGAACUCAACAGAUUCGGUUUAACUACAUUAGCCAAAGUGUGUCAGGAAUUCGGGUUUAAUGGAAAGCAUUUUCAAACCCUGAAUCAAAAAGAUUUACAAAAAGAGCCAUAUGCGCUGAAACCUGCGCAAGUCGAAAGAUUUCUGAAAGCAAUUGGCGAUUGGAGACCACAUAAUGACCAGUGUAUUGAUGAGAAAAAUGAUGCAAACGACAAUUAUGAUGUACCGCCAGGCCCAAAGCAAGUAGAAGCACAACAUUUCACGCAUACGGAUGCAAACCCGAACAGCGUUCAAAAGGACAGACACAACGCACAUGAGACAAGUGAGGACUGCGCAGACGGUACAUUGGAGAGGAAAGAAAAACGAAAAGCCACAAAUACAUCGAUCGAUCCAACUCUGCCCCAUCUAUUAAAAGGAACAGAACAACAAAUUAACAAGUAUGGCGAAAGUAUUCGGUCGAAGCCAAGUAGGGUACAAACUAUUGCUUCACAUUUUGAUAAAAAAUACGAUGUUCCUCCUGCAUAUAUCCGCAGUGUACUGCCGGAAAAAGAAAGCGCACAGAAAGCGAAUGCUUCGAUUAAGACGUCGAAACUUAAAAAACGGUAAACUAAUACAACAGGUCGAAGAAAUGUAUUGUCAGCAAGAGGCGAGAACGGUUUUUUCAGCUGUUUUCCACAGACAUUCCAUAAACGUUUUGUAGAAUUCCAAGAACCACCAUCAGAUGGGCGGUUAAUUACAUGCGCGGGCGUUGACGAAGAUGCCACAUACAUCAGGCAUCUUAAGAAGUCAAUGAACUAAAAUUGUCGCGAUGAAACGUUUUGUUAAAGUUAUGGAUGAAAUAUGCGCCAUAUGCAUAAACACAAUUCUUUUGAUAAGAAACUUACUUGGCAUUUAACCUUAUCAGAUUCGGCUUUUCAUCAAUAGCCAAGGUGUGUCAGGAAUUCAAGUUAAAGGGGCCGUCCAACGUUUGGGUAAAUUGACAAAAUUAAAAAAAGUUGUUUCGGACUCGCACAUUAUCACUUUUGUUAUGAUAUUUUUGAGUAAAUAGUAAUACUGACCAUUUACCAUGCUAUUUAAUAUCAAUUAUAUGCAUCUUUUGGCGAUUUGAAAACCUGAAAAUUAUAAAGCGUCGUGCGACGCAAAACGAUUGAAUAAUUCGGAAAGUUCUGUUGUUGUAGUUAUAUUUUGGCAAACUACGAGGAUUGAUUAUAUUAUAUAGGUGAAAAAUACAUCCGCUCUAAACAUGAGCAUGGAUGGUCGAGUGGUCUAGGCGGGUGACUUUUUACUCCAGGACUCCAGAGAUCAGUGGUUCGAGCCCUGUCGAGGGUUACUUUUUUUUCCUUUUUUAAAUUGUAUUCUUGUUUUUUUACUGAUGAUUUUUUAUGUCAAUUUUUUAAAUUUAUCAAUAUAAAGCAUUUAAUGACAUGCUUCAAUACAUGUUGGACGGCCCCUUUAAGGGGAGAGCAUAUUCAAACUUUACAUCAGACGAUUUACGGUACAUCUUCGAAAGCCAAAAGGUUUGUAAACAGGACACCAUAUAGUGGAGACUGUUUUAAUGAGGACAAUAACGCCAAUUACAAUAAUAAUGUGCCGCCAAGACCAAAGUAGUUCAUUAAAUAACUUCAAAUUCACAAGUGCACUGAUACAAAUCCGCCAAGACCAAAGUAGUUCAUAGAAUAACUUCAAAAUAACGCAUGCACUGAUGCAUAUCCCACCAGCGUUCUAAAGGACACAAACAACGCAAAAACGACAUCAGAGGACUGCAUAGACGAUGAUGACCUCUAGAUAAACUGAGAAGCAAUGCAUCAAACUUAACCAAAUGAGUCGGAAUACGAAAAUGAAACCCUUUUCUGUGUGCAUGUGAUUAAAAUGAAAACAAACUUAAUAAUAAACAUGAUCGAGGUCUGUAAGUCCCCCGAUUAUAAAACUUCCGAAGACAUGAACUUCAAAGCUGUGUGCUCAGCAAAUAUUUAUAAAACUGUAUUAUGUCUUGUGUAACGUAAUGAUUUGCGUCGUUUUAUUCAAGUGUGUUCUUAAUCAUCACAUUGCAUGAAAUGAAUGCAUAACGUACGCGUGUGAUUUAACUUUCCGUCGGAUAAUGCUCGGUGGGUAUGGUAAUUGUGUUACCAUUUAAAUAUUUACUAAUAUUAUUUUAUAAAUGUGAUUUCAUUUUUUGUGUGAAGUGAAGAUUGUGAAAAUACAACUAUAAUUCCUGUUGAGCAAAACUUGAUGAGAAAUGACAAUGCCUUACAAAUCCAUAAAAAGAACAUUAACUUAUACAGCUAGCUAAAACUGUUUUGGGACGAAGGAUACAAACAACUAAUAAAUAUUGAUAUAUAUAAAUAAACUGAUGCGCGUAUAUAAUUGAUCAUGAUCAUCAAAUUGAAUAAGUGAUCGCGUCAAUUUCAGUUCCCAAGCAGUACAUAAAAAAUGUACGUCGUUCA